GAAGAGCGGAGUAAACUACAUCCGUGGUGUGAUUUGGUCGCGAUCAGCCAUGGAGAAACUAGCGUCGGUCUAGCUUACUAAGUUGAAAACGCAAUUGUUGAUCACAGAUUUCGACAGAAAUUCAAAGGAUCUGAGAGAAUUAAUGGUGGAUUUGAUGGGUCAAGUUAAUGUUAAGCUCUUAGUCAGGUUUUUGGAAAGAAACAACGGUAUGUUCAUCGUUAGGACUCGUGGUUGUAGCCAUGCAGGAUACGAUUCAAGACAGUAGGACAUAUUUAGACCAAGUGCAGGAUUUUAAUGAAGACUCGCACCGGUACCCUGACAUGAACAUGUAAAUUUUUCGAGCCUCGAAACCAGCCUCGCUUAUGAUCAUGCCGAGUCAUAGCCGUGAUGGAAGUUGCCAGGAAACAACAGGUUAACUUAAUCAUCAUGAAGUAAAUACAUGUAGGCUUAUAACUCUGCCUACAUGUUUUCGCUUCCAAUAUCAGAACUUCUUUUUUUUUUUUAUAAAUUCGCCAUGCAGAAGUUGCAGACGGUAUUUAAAACUGUAUAAAAUGAAACAACAGAACGAUAUAUGUUUAAUGUUUCUCUUUUAUAAAUUGGUGUAAUUCUUGUUUGUUUACAAAAUAAACUGUAUAAAUAUC